YUGYWKSGWWMRCCCUUAGAGUUUGAUCCUGGCUCAGAACGAACGCUGGCGGCGUGCUUAACACAUGCAAGUCGAACGUGAUCCAGAGCUUGCUCUGGUGAAAGUGGCGCACGGGUGAGUAACGCGUGGAUAACCUGCCCUGGUAUCUGGGAUAACAUCUCGAAAGGGGUGCUAAUACCGGAUAAGCCUACGGGCUCUUCGGAGUCUGCAGGAAAAGGAGGCCUCUAUUUAUAAGCUUCCGUAUCAUGAUGGGUCCGCGUACCAUUAGCUAGUUGGUGGGGUAAUGGCCUACCAAGGCGACGAUGGUUAGCUGGUCUGAGAGGAUGAUCAGCCACACUGGAACUGAGACACGGUCCAGACUCCUACGGGAGGCAGCAGUGGGGAAUUUUGCGCAAUGGGGGAAACCCUGACGCAGCAACGCCGCGUGAGUGAUGAAGGCUUUCGGGUCGUAAAGCUCUGUCAGAGGGGAAGAAAUGGGUCGUGCUAAUAUCGCGACUUCUUGACGGUACCCUCAAAGGAAGCACCGGCUAACUCCGUGCCAGCAGCCGCGGUAAUAC
rnacentral:rRNA from 1 species